ACGGGAGGCAGCAGUGGGGAAUAUUGCACAAUGGGGGAAACCCUGAUGCAGCGACGCCGCGUGAGCGAUGAAGUAUUUCGGUAUGUAAAGCUCUAUCAGCAGGGAAGAAAAUGACGGUACCUGACUAAGAAGCUCCGGCUAAAUACGUGCCAGCAGCCGCGGUAAUACGUAUGGAGCAAGCGUUAUCCGGAUUUACUGGGUGUAAAGGGAGCGUAGGCGGCGUGCUAAGUCUGAUGUGAAACUCCGGGGCUCAACCCCGGAACUGCAUUGGAAACUGGCAUGCUAGAGUGUCGGAGGGGUAAGCGGAAUUCCUAGUGUAGCGGUGAAAUGCGUAGAUAUUAGGAGGAACACCGGUGGCGAAGGCGGCUUACUGGACGAUAACUGACGCUGAGGCUCGAAAGCGUGGGGAGCAAACAGGAUUAGAUACCCUGGUA
rnacentral:rRNA from 1 species